ACGUACGCUGGCGGCACGCCUAACACAUGCAAGUCGAACGAAGUAGCAAUACUUAGUGGCAGACGGGUGAGUAACAUGUAGGUAUCUGCCCUUUGGCCUGGAAUAACACGAGGAAACUUGUGCUAAUACCGGAUAAGUCUUUACGGAGAAAGCUUUAUGCACCAUUGGAUGAGCCUGCACUUGAUUAGUUUGUUGGUGGGGUAAUGGCCUACCAAGACUGUGAUCAAUAGCUGAUUUGAGAGGAUGAUCAGCCACAUUGGGACUGAGACACGGCCCAAACUCCUACGGGAGGCAGCAGUGGGGAAUCUUGCACAAUGGAGGAAACUCUGAUGCAGCGAUGCCGCGUGAGUGAAGAAGGCCUUUGGGUUGUAAAGCUCUUUCGUCGGGGAAGAAAAUGACUGUACCCGAAUAAGAAGGUCCGGCUAACUUCGUGCCAGCAGCCGCGGUAAUACGAAGGGACCUAGCGUAGUUCGGAAUUACUGGGCUUAAAGAGUUCGUAGGUGGUUGAAAUAGUUGGUGGUGAAAUCCCAGAGCUUAACUCUGGAACUGCCAUCAAAACUUUUCAGCUAGAGUAUGAUAGAGGAAAGCAGAAUUUCUAGUGUAGAGGUGAAAUUCGUAGAUAUUAGAAAGAAUACCAAUUGCGAAGGCAGCUUUCUGGAUCAUUACUGACACUGAGGAACGAAAGCAUGGGUAGCGAAGAGGAUUAGAUACCCUCGUAGUCCAUGCCGUAAACGAUGUGUGUUAGACGUUGGAAAUUUAUUUUCAGUGUCGCAGGGAAACCGAUAAACACACCGCCUGGGGAGUACGACCGCAAGGUUAAAACUCAAAUGAAUUGACGGGGACCCGCACAAGUAGUGGAGCAUGUGGUUUAAUUCGAAGAUACGCGCAGAACCUUACCAACACUUGACAUGUUCGUCGCGACUCUAAGAGAUUAGAGUUUUCGGUUCGGCCGGACGAAACACAGGUGCUGCAUGGCUGUCGUCAGCUCGUGUCGUGAGAUGUUGGGUUAAGUCCCGCAACGAGCGCAACCCUCACUUUUAGUUGCCAUCAUUUAGUUGGGCACUCUGAAAGAACUGCCAGUGAUAAGCUGGAGGAAGGUGGGGAUGACGUCAAGUCCUCAUGGCCCUUACGUGUUGGGCUACACACGUGCUACAAUGGUAUCUACAACAGGAAGCGAAACUGCGAAGUUAAGCAAAUCCCUAAAAGAUACCUCAGUUCGGAUUGCACUCUGCAACUCGAGUGCAUGAAGCUGGAAUUACUAGUAAUCGUGGAUCAGCGUGCCACGGUGAAUGCGUUCCCGGGUCUUGUACACACCGCCCGUCAAGG
rnacentral:rRNA from 1 species